GGCUCCUUGGUCAAGCGGUUAAGACACCGCCCUUUCACGGCGGUAACACGGGUUCGAGUCCCGUAGGGAGUUG
rnacentral:tRNA from 1 species